rnacentral:rRNA from 1 species
UACGUAGGGGGCAAGCGUUGUCCGGAUUUAUUGGGCGUAAAGAGCGUGUAGGCGGCUAGAUAGGUCCGUUGUGAAAACUGGAGGCUCAACCUCCAGCUGUCGAUGGAAACCAUCUGGCUAGAGUCCGGAAGAGGAGAGUGGAAUUCCUGGUGUAGCGGUGAAAUGCGUAGAUAUCUGGAGGAACACCGGUGGCGAAGGCGGCGUCCUGGACCAACACUGACACUGAGGAGCAGAAAGCCAGGGGGAGCAAACGGG